GCCUUUCACCUUCUUCUGUAUCUCUUAACCCUGCUUACCUUUUUUUAUUUUUUGUUUUUUAACCCUCUUCUCCCCUACAUACAAAGCCAAUGUCAAGCAACCUCUGAAAGAGUAAAGGAUUUGUAGCCAGCACAAAGGUAAUCCAUAGCUCAGCUCUGAAGAAACAGAGCAAUCAGGAAUCUACAGGGUUAAUAUUAGCCCCUUAAGGACUGAGCCAAAUGUACACGUUUUGAUCAAAAUAAAAUGUAAACAAAACUCAGAAUUUGCUAUAUGUUUGUUCAACC